GUCAUUCAAACACAUAGUACAAAAACUACAUGUCAUUUAUCAUUACAGAUGGUAGCUUUGGGCCUUUGGGAAUUUUAAACAUCAAUGGCAGUUGAGCCAUGUCUCAAUGCUUUUCAAAAGGGCCCACCAUAUAUAAACUUUCAAAUCCAAGUUAUCUUUGCAAAAUACGGAAGCACCCAAAAGAAAGAACGAAACUACAAAGCUCAAACAACUCAAUCAAUUUGAAGCAAAAAGGCUCGAUAUCAUUCAAGAAAUGAUGAAAAGGAACUUGUUCACAUAUCCAUAGUAAUGCAGUGAAGAUAUUACUGUUCUGUAUAACUAUCAGCUUACAAACAGAACAUGCUUUUCUUUGUUCAACCUUUUGCGAUUCAAUUGUAGCUCAACUCUCUGCUUGCGUUUCGCAAUGUGACCGUUGUUUGACUAU